GCACACCAACAGCCACGCUCACACGGUCACUAUCUUUGUAUAUCCUAUUGAAUAUUUUAUUGCGAUAUUGUACCAUGAAGAUACUAAGAUAUUCAUUUAAACUUAUCCAAACAAAAUGCUGAGCUUCACUUUGGCAGUGGUACGGAGAAAUUUAAAUUUUAUAGAAACUUUCGACUUUCUGAAAAGUUAUUUUGUUCGUAUAAAUAUGAUAAUUAAUAAUAUUAACUUAUUACUUUUAUAAUAUUAAAUGAGCAUACACAAAAAUAUAAUCGAGUUGCGCAGGGCGGGGCGGAGGCGCGCGCGCGCGGGGCGGAGCCGCGGCCCGCCGCCCCCGCAGCCCCCGCAGACCUGCACAAGUCCAGCUCCGACUCCGUGGUGGCGAGCGAGCGCCGCGGCCGCAGCCGCAGCCCGCGCGCAUGAGCACGCAGCCCAUCAACAUCCCCGGCUCCCCGCAGCGGCAGAGCUCCUCCAGCACCACCGACGACGACGA